UACGUAUGGUGCAAGCGUUAUCCGGAUUUAUUGGGCGUAAAGGGAACGCAGGCGGUCUUUUAAGUCUGAUGUGAAAGCCUUCGGCUUAACCGGAGUAGUGCAUUGGAAACUGGGAGACUUGAGUGCAGAAGAGGAGAGUGGAACUCCAUGUGUAGCGGUGAAAUGCGUAGAUAUAUGGAAGAACACCAGUGGCGAAAGCGGCUCUCUGGUCUGUAACUGACGCUGAGGCUCGAAAGCGUGGGUAGCAAACAGG
rnacentral:rRNA from 1 species